AGAAUGAACGCUGGCGGCGUGGUUAAGACAUGCAAGUCGAACGGGACAUUAGGUGUAGCAAUACAUCUGAUGUUCAGUGGCGAACGGGUGCGUAACACGUGAACAAUCUACCUUUAAGCGUGGAAUAGCUCGUCGAAAGGCGAAUUAAUACCACAUGUGGUGGCCUCUCUCCUGAGAGACCUACUAAAGUCGGGGACCGCAAGGCCUGACACUUGAAGAGGAGUUCGCGGCCUAUCAGCUAGUUGGCGAGGUAACGGCUCACCAAGGCGACGACGGGUA
rnacentral:rRNA from 1 species